UACGGGGGGGCAAGCGUUGUUCGGAAUUAUUGGGCGUAAAGCGUGUGUAGGCGGUCUAUCGCGUCUUUGAUGAAAUCUCCCGGCUCAACCGGGAACCCGUCAAAGAUACGGAUAGACUAGAAUAUGGCAGGGGCUGAUGGAACUUAGCAUGAAGCAGUGGAAUGCGUUGAUAUGCUAAGGAACACCGAUGGCGAAGGCAGUCAGCUGGGCCAUUAUUGACGCUGAGGAGCGAAAGCAUGGGGAGCGAACAGG
rnacentral:rRNA from 1 species